CUCAACACUAAUUCAGGGUGUAUCAUGGCCCAAAUAUGCUGAGGAAUGCAGGCUGCCUUGGUGGGCUUAGGAGUUGCCUUUCACUUCAGUCAGUGACGGAAAAGGUCCAGGACGUAAGGCUUUUACAGCUGAAAAGCUGAGACAGCUUGUGCAGUCCUACAAUGCACAUGUCAAUGAUCAGCUGUUUGUUGAGGCAGCGGCAGCAGAUGCAGCACCAACACCACCAGCAGCAGCAGUGGCAGGAGCAGCACCACCAGCACCACCAGCACCACCAGCACUAUAAAUGCCAGCAGCGGCAGAUUAUAAAGAAGGAUAACAAUUAAUACAUGAAAUUAGAGUGGGAAGUUGUGCUUUUAUGUUUCAUGUUUAUGGUUUUAUAUAUAUAUGCACCUUACUUGAGCGUCUCUACAAAUUCAUUAUACUGCAAUGCAAUUACAAUAAAGGCAUUAAUUUGUCAUUUCAGUUUGUAUUACUACAUUCAUUUAGCCUGGGUGCCAGCCAAACUUAGCCCUUUCCACAACAUUUCAGGUCGGGAAGUUCGGUCUGGAAUUGCUCCAUUGUGGCACAAAUAUGCUCGAACCAGAGCUGUUCGGACCAAUGUGUGUGUAUGUUUGUAAAAGACAUAGAUUCAUCUGAAUGCUGUAGACUGUCUUAGUAAACAUACAUUCAUGAUUUGCAUAGACAGGCAGACCUUGAUUGCACCUUAGGGUUACGUGAGUUAUGUUCAUAUAGACUGCACUCUGGCUAUGGUCAGACAGUUUUGCAUGCGCACAAGUUGAUGACUCGGACCAACCACCUCAGAAUACAAAUUUUCUGCUUGUUUCUCAUGUUUACAUGUGUUGUGAUAAAUAAACAUGAUUUGCAGGUCAGUUUUGACCUACAGUAUGUGACAGCCUUGAAAAGUACCAUCCAGACAGCUAUUCGGUUUAGUUUUCAGACAGUUUUGUAUGCACACAAGUUGAUGAACCAUUAAAAUAAAUAUUUGGA